GACGAACGCUGGCGGCGUGCUUAACACAUGCAAGUCGAACGGAAAGGCCCUGCUUUUGUGGGGUGCUCGAGUGGCGAACGGGUGAGUAACACGUGAGUAACCUGCCCUUGACUUUGGGAUAACUUCAGGAAACUGGGGCUAAUACCGGAUAGGAGCUCCUGCUGCAUGGUGGGGGUUGGAAAGUUUCGGCGGUUGGGGAUGGACUCGCGGCUUAUCAGCUUGUUGGUGGGGUAGUGGCUUACCAAGGCUUUGACGGGUAGCCGGCCUGAGAGGGUGACCGGCCACAAUGGGACUGAGAUACGGCCCAGACUCCUACGGGAGGCAGCAGUGGGGAAUAUUGCACAAUGGGCGGAAGCCUGAUGCAGCAACGCCGCGUGCGGGAAGACGGCCUUCGGGUUGUAAACCGCUUUCGCCUGUGACGAAGCGUGAGUGACGGUAAUGGGUAAAGAAGCACCGGCUAACUACGUG
rnacentral:rRNA from 1 species